rnacentral:rRNA from 1 species
CUACGGGGCGCAGCAGGUAGGAAUCUUUUGCAAUGCGCGCAAGCGUGACAAAGCGAGCCAGAGUGAUUUUCAUUUGAAAAUCUUUUGCUAAAUCUAAAAAUUUUGGCGAAUAAGGACUGGGUAAGACGAGUGCCAGCCGCCGCGGUAAUCCUCGCGGUCCAAGUCGCAGCCAUCAUUAUUGGGUCUAAAACAUCCGUAGCUUGCUUAAUAAGUUCCUUGUGAAAUCUUGUCUCUUAAGGUCAAGGCGUGCAAGGGAUACUGCUAAGCUAGAGACUGGAAGACGUAAGAAGUAUGUUUGAAGUAACGGUAAAAUGUGUUAAUCUCAGACAGACUCGCAACAGCGAAGGCAUCUUACGAGGACAGUUCUGACAGUAAAGGAUGAAGGCUAGGGGCGCGAAAGGGAUUAGAUACCCUAGUAGUC